rnacentral:rRNA from 1 species
AACGAACGCUGGUGGCAGGCUUAACACAUGCAAGUCGAGCGAGACCUUCGGGUCUAGCGGCGGACGGGUGAGUAACGCGUGGGAACGUGCCCUUCUCUACGGAAUAGCCCCGGGAAACUGGGAGUAAUACCGUAUACGCCCUUUGGGGGAAAGAUUUAUCGGAGAAGGAUCGGCCCGCGUUAGAUUAGGUAGUUGGUGGGGUAAUGGCCCACCAAGCCGACGAUCCAUAGCUGGUUUGAGAGGAUGAUCAGACACACUGGGACUGAGACACGGCCCAGACCCAUAGGGGGGGAGGCAGGGGGGAAUUUUAGAAAAGGGGGGCAACCGUGAUCUAGCCUGGCGGGGGGAGGAAGGAAGGCGUGGGGGUUGAAAAGCUUUUUCAGAUGGGAAGAAAAGGACGGUACCAGAAGAAGAAGCCCCGGCAAACCCCGUG